AGGGCCUAGAAUUGCGCUCUGCAGACAGUAGAUGCUUAAUAAGUGUUUAUUGAAUUUCGACAAUUAGACGGAGAGCUUGCAGAUAGUGAUGAGAAAUAUUUCCUUGUUUGGGCACUCUUUCCACAUUACCUAAGAAAAGACUGUAUGUGCUUUGUAGGCAAGUUUCAACACUUUUUUUUAAAAUGGUGAACUCAGUGUAAUUUUUUCUGAGAAGUUAAUUGCCUGACUGACACUAGGACAACAAAACAUAGGAACUGUAUGUUCUGGUCUCAGGAUAGACAUAGAGUUAAUCUGAAGCAGCUGGCCAAACCUAACGGUGUCUGUUAAUCUUGGAAAUUUGCAUUUCAGAAUUAUUAAUUUUUUGUUGACAAAAACUGCUUUACUAAUCUGUAUUUGUAAUCCUUGACUAGCAAUUACUCACUGGCUUGUGACUCUGAAUAAAGUACACUUUGAAGGAUUAGCGUGCCCUUAGUGCCACAUCAUCAGGAACCCUGCCCCAGAAUGAGGUAUAAAGGCAGCUGACUAGAUGGCCAGAGUAUUCAUUAGAAUCCUCAGACAUUCAGGUGCUGCUGAAGCAUCAGAGAUAAACCUUUGAGAAGAUGAAGAUUCUCCUGCUCACUGUGGGGCUGGCCUUGGUCUGUGGUCUCCAGGCCCUCGAUAACAAUGAAGAAGGCUCACCAAAGGUUAGUGGAAAGUGGUUCACUAUUGCAUUGGCCUCAAAUGUGACAUCUAAGAUUGAAGAAGGAGGUAGCUUGCAGGUGUUUGUCAAAAAUCUUAGUGAACACAAUGGUAAUCUUUAUGGAGACUUCUUCAAAAGGUAAGUGCUAUAAAGUUGGUGUUAGUUGGUGGAUAUGGAAGUGGGGACAAAAACCUGGGUAAUAGUUCUAGGAUCCUUUAACCCACCCAGGCUGAACCAGGAGUCAAUUAAUGAUGAAGACCCCAGGAUGUGGUUGGUUUUAUGAACAUUAAGGUAAUCGUUCAAGGAAAAACAAAUUAAUAGGCUACACACAUACUUGAAGCUUGUGUGCAGUGGUGAAGGACAAUGCUGAUUAAUGGUAUUUUUAUAUGAAGUUUGGAUUUUUGAAUCACCCUCUGGGAGAAUUACCAUUUCCUUUCUGUGCCUAACUUUCCUGAGUCACCAGUCUCCAUUUCAUAGUAGAGAUAGGAUACUUGAGGCCACUCCGCUAAGAAGACAAAAAGCAGAGUGAGAGAGAAGAAAGAAAGAUGUUCACUUAACUCACACGUUCACAGUAGCUUAUUUAGCCAUUCCCCAAUUGAUGGGCAUCAACUUUGCUUAUAAUUCUUUCCUACUCCAAAAAAACACUAUCGAUAUUUUUCUUAAUAAAGGGCCUCUCUUUUACUCA
rnacentral:lncRNA from 1 species